rnacentral:misc_RNA from 1 species
AACACUGUUAACCUGCGGUACCUGCGGAGGGAUCAUUAAAAAGAUCGAACCAAAAAUAUGGACGAUCAAAAUCCAUAUCCACCUUGUGUGCACUUAUUGACCGUUCGCUUUGGCAGGAGUUGUCUUUGGAUCCCGGCCCUGACCUUUUUUUUCGAUUGAGAAGAGAGGGGGAGGGGAGGGAUCGAAGCGCGAGGGGGGUGGGAGGACCCCUCCCACACACCUCGGCCUGCCAGAGUUUUU